rnacentral:rRNA from 1 species
GGGCCCGCACAAGCGGUGGAGCAUGUGGUUUAAUUCGAUGCAACGCGAAGAACCUUACCAGGUCUUGACAUCCAAAGAAUCCUUGUGAAAGCAGGGAGUGCCUUCGGGAGCUUUGAGACAGGUGGUGCAUGGUUGUCGUCAGCUCGUGUCGUGAGAUGUUGGGUUAAGUCCCGCAACGAGCGCAACCCUUGCUAUUAGUUGCUAACAGGAGAGCUGAGCACUCUAAUGGGACUGCCCGUGACAAGCGGGAGGAAGGUGGGGAUGACGUCAAAUCAUCAUGCCCUUUAUGAUCUGGGCUACACACGUGCUACAAUGGAUGGUACAGAGAGCAGCAAAACUGCGAAGCGGAGCGAAUCUACAAAAGCCAUUCUCAGUUCGGAUUGCAGUCUGCAACUCGACUGCAUGAAGUCGGAAUCGCUAGUAAUCGCGAAUCAGCACGUCG